UACGUAGGGAGCAAGCGUUGUCCGGAAUCAUUGGGCGUAAAGCGCGCGUAGGUGGCUUCGUAAGUCCGUUGUGAAAGUCAAAGGCUCAACCUUUGAAAGCCGAUGGAUACUGCGGAGCUAGAGUACGGAAGAGGAGAGUGGAAUUCCUGGUGUAGCGGUGGAAUGCGCAGAUAUCAGGAGGAACACCAAUAGCGAAGGCAGCUCGCUGGGACGUUACUGACACUGAGGCGCGAAGCGUGAGGAGCGAACGAGG
rnacentral:rRNA from 1 species